CCUCCUCCCAACCUCCCUGCCCUAAAAGCUACGGACGUAACUUCUGCCAAGAAAACAUUCCCAUGCAACACGCAAAGUUUUGCUCCUCUCUGUAAUCUUUCACAGAGCACUGUGCAUGAAGCCGGGGGAAUGCUCCCUAUUAGGCUCCUCCCCACACUCAGCUAAAAGACCCGAAGUGUGUGAUUAACACAAAUCUACAACCUAAAGCUGAUGUUGAGAACAGCUUGCUUCCCUUUGGAAUGAGUCCUGAGAUGAAUCUUCCAGGGAGCCACCACAGCUAAGCAAGUGGGGCAGUGGAAAAGGAAUAGAGAAACAGAAGGCCAUUUACCAGAAACAAAACGUGUUGGAGGAGUUACAAAACUGGAGGAGGUUUGAGAGAUUGGCUUCAGCAAAACUGAAGGAAUUUUCAGAUGGACUUGGGCAUCGGGGACAGGUUCAGGAGUUGUUGUCCAUCCCUACUUGCACUCCGACAGAGUGGCUUGUUGGGCCAUUUCAGAAGACAAUUUUGAGCCAAUCACACAUUGCUGAGAGUCUGAAGAUACACAGACCAGAUAUGGAUAAAGGUUUCCUUCCUUAAACGGCUUAUCAAUCGUUGGUUUUCUCAGGAGAAGCGAGACUUGCCCUUGUUACACACAGAAUCGACCCUCUAUUCUGCUCAAGUGUGUCAGAGCCCCAGUGCAAUCUAAAGGGUGAGUGACACACUUCCCAUGGGCCCAUCCUGUCAGCCCUGUUAUAAUACUGUAAUCCAUUUCUAUUAGUUCUGAGCUCAUGGCCAAAAAGUAUUGGAGUCAUUAUUUCACAUGUUCUGAGCAUUACAAACCAGGCCAUCAUUUAUGGUCUAUCUCAAAUUGCCCUUGAGAAAGUGCUGACAAGCUGCUUUCUUGAACUACUAUUGUCCACAUGGUACAGGAGCCAAGUCUUGUGGACUUAAAUAACUUCAGAUCAUGAUACUUGAACAUACUUUAUCUACCUUUGAUAAAUGUUAACAUUUCUUCCAUAAAUUUGUGGGUUAAGGCCCUGGAACAGUAAAAAUGAAAUGACUGUUUGAACUCAACACUGAUUCAAAUGGCCCUUCUGAAUUCAUAUUUACCACCUACGUAUUUCAUCUCUUCUUCACCUGCAAAAAUGGGAUCGGUACGAACUGGAGUGGGAUGUCUGCAACUGGGACCCAUCCACCAUUUUCAAAGGCCAUUAAAGUUGGCCGAACAUGGCAAAAAUAUAGGCCCUAAUACGACAAGGGCCAUUUUAGGAUUAGAAGAGGUAAAAUUUCUUCCAUCACAGGCUGUGAAUCUUUGGAAGUCUUGAUCCCAAAGAGAGUGCUGGAUACCCAGCGCAAUCAAUAAUGAUUUACACCACCACAAACACACUAGAGACAAAAUUCCCCGAGUCCCAAUUCAUUGUGGCUGUCGACAGAUAUCUAACAAUGACAAGUCAAACUAUUGAAGGGAAAUAGAGGAUUUAGUGACGUACUGCAAUGAAAACAAUCUGUCUGUCAACGUCAGCUAAACUAAAGAACUGAUCAUCGAUUUCAGAAAGAAAGGAGGAGAACACACCUCCAAAUCCAUCAACAGAACUGAGGUUGAGACAGUGAAGAACAUCAACCUCCUUGGAAUGAGGAUAACCAACGACCUAUCCUGGUCUUCCCACGUAAAUGCGACAGUCAAAGCAUUACAACAAAGCCUUCUUUCUCAGGCAGCUCAGGAAAUUGGGCAUGUCUAUAAAAGGUCUCUCACCUACUUCCACAGCAUACUUGAAAGCAUACUGUCCAGGUGCAUAAUGGUCUGGCGUGGCAACUGCUCUGCUCAGGACCAUAUAAAAUACAGAAUAUGGUACACAGCCCAGAGCAUCAC